AAACAGGCCCACCAUCAACUACUCUAGUAUAAAACAUUAGCUCCAUAACCCCCCAUUUAUAUAUAUGCAAAACCCACCAAGCUCAUUCUGGUUUUUCUCAAACUUCUGUUGCCAAUUUUGGAGAACAUGAAGCCACAGCAUCUGCAACUGUAAGGAAGAUUUUGUCCUCGCCAAUUGUAUUUGCAAAAUUGGACGCAUGGAGCUUGUCAAUCACCACAGGACCAGGAUUUGCCAGAAUAAGCUGAACAUCCUUCUUCUGGAGGCUCUUGUAUAACUCUUCCAAGGCAUGGAUGCCACUGGUGUCAAUGUCAGUAACAGGAGACAUCUCCACUAUCAAAAACUGGAUUUUCGGUUGGUAUGAUGCUUUUAACUGUUCUUCCUCAUCUGUCAACCAUCUCAGUAUCCU
rnacentral:misc_RNA from 1 species